UUGGAGGGCAAGUCUGGUGCCAGCAGCCGCGGUAAUUCCAGCUCCAAUAGCGUAUAUUAAAGUUGUUGCAGUUAAAAAGCUCGUAGUUGAAUUUCGGGAUCAAUCUGUUGGUUGUGCCUUUGGUACGUACUAGCUUAUUGAUUUCUCCCUUCUGACGAACCAUGAUGUCAUUAAUUUGGUGUCAUGGGGAAUCAGGACUGUUACUUUGAAAAAAUUAGAGUGUUUAAAGCAGGCUCACGCUUGAAUACAUUAGCGUGGAAUAAUGAAAUAGGACGUUUUGAUUCUAUUUUGUUGGUUUCUAGGAUCGACGUAAUGAUUAAUAGGGAUAGUUGGGGGCAUUAGUAUUCAAUUGUCAGAGGUGAAAUUCUUGGAUUUAUUGAAGACUAACUACUGCGAAAGCAUUUGCCAAGGAUGUUUUCAUUAAUCAAGAACGAAAGUUAGGGGAUCGAAGACGAUCAAAUACCGUCGUAGUCUUAACCAUAAACUAUGUCGACUAGGGAUCGGAUGAUGUUAAUUUUUUAAUGACUCAUUCGGCGCCUUGCGGGGAAACCAAAGUGUUUGGGUUC
rnacentral:rRNA from 1 species